rnacentral:rRNA from 1 species
GAUGAACGCUAGCGGCAGGCCUAAUACAUGCAAGUCGGACGGUAAAUGGCCCUUCGGGGCUAUGAGAGUGGCGCACGGGUGCGUAACGCGUAUGCAACCUACCCAAUGCUGGAGGAUAGCCCGGAGAAAUUCGGAUUAAGCCUUCAUGAGGAGCGGAGAGGACAUCCUUUCUGUUUCAAAUAUUUAUAGGCGUUGGAUGGGCAUGCGUGCUAUUAGAUAGUUGGCGGGGUAACGGCCCACCAAGUCGACGAUCAGUAGCCGGUCUGAGAGGAUGAACGGCCACAUUGGGACUGAGAUACGGCCCAGACUCCUACGGGAGGCAGCAGUGGGGAAUAUUGGGCAAUGGGGGAAACCCUGACCCAGCAACGCCGCGUGAA